rnacentral:sRNA from 1 species
GUCGGGUCGUAGGACACGUUCAGGAUGGUCGUGUCCGCAAGCGCGAGGCCAAUCGA